rnacentral:rRNA from 1 species
GACGAACCGAGCGAACGUUGUUCGGAAUCACUGGGCUUAAAGGGCGCGUAGGCGGGUGCUCAAGUCUGUGGUGAAAUCCUCCAGCUUAACUGGAGAACUGCCAUGGAUACUGGGUGUCUCGAGGAACGUAGGGGUAUGCGGAACGAUUGGUGGAGCGGUGAAAUGCGUUGAUAUCAAUCGGAACUCCGGUGGCGAAGGCGGCAUACUGGACGUUUUCUGACGCUGAGGCGCGAAAGCCAGGGGGAGCAAACGGGG